GCUCAAAACCAUACUAGAAAGCGAUGAUAUUCACCUCUUUCUUGGUUCUUAACGAGUACCGAUAUAUUGAAACCAUAAGAUCCGCCCGGCCGUCAAAGGCCGAUGCAGUGAAUAAUAAUUUCAAAUCUUGAAAGAGAUAGAUCCUUUGUAGACGACUUAGCUUUUGGACAUGGUAUUGUAAGCAUGAGAGUAGGCCUUGACCUACGAUCUGCUGAGAUUCAGCCUUUGUUCCAACGAUC
rnacentral:rRNA from 1 species